rnacentral:rRNA from 1 species
CGCUCUUUGAGAUAGAUUAUUAAAAGAUUUACUAUAUAUAAGGAGUCGGACCUGCCCAGUGACUAUACUGUUAAACGGCCGCGGUACUCUGACCGUGCAAAGGUAGCAUAAUCAUUUGCCUUUUAAUUGGAGGCUUGUAUGAAUGGUUUGACGAAAACUAAACUGUCUCUUCUUAAAUAUAAAGAAAUUAAUUUUCAGGUGAAGAAGCCUGAUAUAUAACUGAGGGACAAGAAGACCCCGUUGAGCUUUAGUGAUCUAGUUUACUUGUUUUAAUAUAUUAAUGAAAUUAUAAAUUUAUAUAUACAUUAUAAUGUAAAUAUCGUUUUCUAGAAAUCUUUAGUUGGGGCGACUAAGGAACAAAGAAAGCUUCCUUUAAAUACCACAAUAUUUACGGUAAUCAAACCAAAAUAAAUAGAUCCAGCACUUGCUGAUCAAAGGAAAAAGUUACCACGGGGAUAACAGCGUAAUCUUCUUAGAGAGUUCUUAUCGAAGGGAAGGUUUGCGACCUCGAUGUUGGACUAAGAUAUCCUAGGGGUGUAGAAGUUCCUAAUGGUUAGUCUGUUCGACUAUUAAAAUCUU